UCUCCUCCCUCAUCUCUGCACCAAGAGGCUCUCCUGAUGGUUCAGCAUCUGGCCUGACUGUGCCAGGUUCAGCUGAAUAGCCGAGUCCACCCUGGGACUAGGGAAACUGGAGGCCAGUGCCAGCAUGCCCCUGCUGCCCCAGGCCCUUCUUCUGCCAUCCCCAUCAGGAGUCCUGGUCUGACACCACUGAAAUCACCGGGAGUUUUGCCAUUAGCUCCUACGGCCACGAGUUCACCAGAGCCAGCCUGCCCCAGUGACAGCGGUUGCACCCUACCCCAAACAGACAGGGUUUGAAUUCCACACAUCUCACUGACUCCGACUGUCAGAAAAAUCUCUCCCCUCCGAGCUCAAUCACGCUGUACAAGUUUUGCAUUAAUUUAGAGCUAAUUGUCAGGUCUUUGCCCCAGUUCCUACACCACAACACUGAUGCUGUUUGUUGACUGCAUGUGUGAGACACACGGCGCACCAUGGACAGUGAGACCAGACUGCAUCCAGGGGCUUUAACUGCAGAAAAUAAAAAGAGAUGAACAUGAAACAAAAUAAGCCGCUGUGCCCAGGUGUCGCUUCAAUCUGCAUGACCGGAGUGUCUUCAGAAAUGGAGCAGAUUCUGCUUCCGGUUACACUGGUGUGAAUCUGGAGCGGCUCCACUGAAAUCAUGGCCCACUGUGGCUUCCUGAGACUGCUUGGCUUGGCUUAGCUGGAAUUUGACCUGCUGUAGAUGUGGACCCAUCAGCCAGCCCUGUCUCAGCGCAGCCGUGCGAGGAGAAAUGAGCGACAGUUUGAUUGAUCAUGUCUGUGGUUGCUGUGCUUGGCAAUAGAAGAGGCUGUCUUGCAUGGCAGCGCACAGUAGCUCAUGUCUGUGAAGGUGUUCUAAGCAAUCCCCUACACACACUGAAUGGCAGGGACCUUCCCUUGAUUUGGACUUCCUUCAUGCAUGAGCCCUGAUCUGAAUUUUGGCUGUAUGUGUAGGUGUGCAGGGGAAGGAGGUUGCCUGAGCGGAUGAUGCAUUCCCUUCCUUUUCUAUAGCAUCUCAGGCCACGUGAAGCAGGAGGUGAUUAUUAAGGAAAACAGCUAGAACUAUGAACACAAACAGGCUUCCACACAACUUGGGUUCUAGCUUUGUCUCCUUUGUUUACCAGGGAUCCCACUCUCUCUGGAACUGUAUAACACAGAGAGAUAUAUAGUGGCUAACUAACAUAAAUGCAAACACAUACCAGGGCACUCCCCAAGGGCUGAUCAUGUUGUGCUCCCAUCUCCCAUGAGCCCGAGGGAACCAAUUCUCCGCUCCCACGUGGAGGUCACUUUAACCGGCAAUUUAACCACACAU